UCCCUCGUGGCGCAAUUGGCUAGCGCGUUCGACUGUUACCAGUAUAUUCUGCUCGCAAAUCGAGAGGUUGGUGGUUCAAGCCCACCCGAGGGAG
rnacentral:tRNA from 1 species